rnacentral:lncRNA from 1 species
CAGGUAGGCGGGGAGGCGCCGAGAGCCGGUCUCUCCCGCCCCAAACUUCCCGCAAGUGGCCCAGGCGCUCGCGCCGAGUUGACCGCGACUCGCAGCGCGUCGCUCGUGCGGCCACCGGGAGCGAAGGGCUGCUCUGUUAGCUUCUGGAGGUGCCGGUCGGUCCAACUUUUCCCAGCGCCGCCUUGUGUGGGCUGGGGAAACGAGCACUCCCCGGCUCGGAGCGCUCCUCCGUGGGUGGGCAGCGAUCUGUCCCCUGCUUCGUACACCGAGAGAGGUGCACGCCGAGUGACAGACGCGGACGUGGAAGUGACCGGCGAAGAACUCGUGUGGCACCGAGCCCCUGAAUGCCAAACUAAAAGAAUGGGUUCAAUUUGUCUCCGGGUGUUGAUUUUAAACACCGUGGCCCUAGAGAAACAAAGCGCUCAGGAGCACUGUGGAGCUUUGCGCGCUGACCAGAGAGAUUACAGUGCUAUCCUCCACAGGUGUAAAGAAAAAAUUUAAGCUCUUCAGUUUCAAAGGAAAGGGACAGGAAGUCCUAGAAACAGGAAGAAAAAGAGAACAAAGGAUUAAAAGAAAUGACUUGCUGAUGGUCUGUCGCCAACUGAAUAUGGAAGAGUCUGUGGCUGAGAUCAUGAGCCAGUUGGGUGCAGAUGAAAACGGGAAGAUUUCCUUUCAGGAUUUUACAAGGUGUCGUAUGCAGCUAGUCCAAGAAAUUAGGAAGGAAGAAGUAGACCUCUCUGUGAAGUCAGACAACUCCUGUAAAAAGAAGAAGCUAAGGGACAGAAUUGAUUCCUGGCCCACGAGCAGUGACAACAGUCUGGGUGCCUUAUCAGCAGCCAGGGAGAGCUGGGAAUAUGACUCUGGUGCCAGGGACCUCCAGAGCCCAGAUUUGCAGACUCAGUCGGCCCUACAGAAGCUGCUGGAGUAUGGCGGAAGCUCUUUGCAUCAGCAAGCUGCUCUCCACAAACUGCUCACACAGUCCCCACAUUUUGGCAGCUCUGUAGGAGGACACUACCUAGAGCUGGCCAACACGAUAAAAAUGCUCAACCAGAGCCAGGCAUGGCGGUGCAUUCCUGUAAUCAUAGCUCUCUAGGAAGCUACAGCAGGAGGAGGAUCGCAAACUCAAGCCCAGCCUGGGCAAUUUAGCAACUUAUGGAGACCCUGCAACAAAAAAUAAAGAAAGAAAAGAAAAGAAAAGCUGGGGGUGUAGUUCUGUAUAAAGGUCCUGGGUUCAAUCCCCAGUGCAGGGGAGAAAAGAAAGCUCAGCCAAUGGUUUGUGCUUCCUCAAAGUGCAGCAGCUGGUAUGCCGAAGGUGGUAGACACAGUGAUACACGUGGCACACCCAAUGGUGUUAAAUGAGACUAUCUCACACCAGGAGUAGAAUUCCCUUUUUAAUCCUUUUUCAGCCCAUCUGUUGAGAUCAAGAGCAAGGCCUCAUUUGGGUGGAAGAAGGUCUCAGAUACCUCUCUAACUCCCUAACAGAGCCCCUGUGUAAGGAAAAGGCAGGCCCAGGAUCGGAGCUCUGCAAGGCAACAGCAUUUAGCUCAUUUUUUUUUUCCCUCCUAGUACUGGGGAUCGAACUCAGGAGCUUGUGCUUGCGAGGCAGGCUCGGUGGCACUGAGCUAAAUCCCUGGCCUAAGGUUUAGCUCGUUUUUAUAGUUGCUCUCUGCUUAUGGCAACUGACAAUUAUUUUCCAUUAAUAAUAGUAAUGUAAACCUUUCAUUUUGAAUAAAUAGUUUGAAGUAUAAAUUUAUCAAUUUCAGAAAAAUGUUAGGUAGAUUAUACCCAGAUGGUGCUUGGUCUGGCAGAAGUUGGAAAGGAGAUGUAUGAAAGAUGCCUUGGGACCAGGUGUGGUGGCACACACUUGUAAUCCUAGUACUCUGGGAGGCUGAAGCAGAAGAAUCAAAAGUUUGAACCUAGCCUGGCAACAUAAUGAGCUAGCAAGACCCUAUCUCAAAAUUAAAAAUAAAAAUAAAGCCUUGGGUUCAAUCCCCAGCAAACAAAACAAAAACCCAAAAUCUGCCUUGCUUCCAGGUGUAGUUGCACUCACCUGCAGUUCAGGUACUCUGGAGCCCUUUCAGGUUAGCCUGGGCAAUUCAAUGAGACCCUGUUUCAAAAUAAGAAAUAACAAGGGGCGGGGAUGUAGUUCAGUGGCAGAGUACCUUUGGGUUCAAACCCCAGUACCUCAAGAACACACAAAAACAAAACAGAACUGCCAUGGUAAACUCUUGUGUAGAAAAAGAACAGGCUUGGGCCAGGGAUUUAGCUCAGUGGCGCUGUGCCUGCCUCACAAGCGCAAGGUUCUGAGUUCGAUCCCUGGUACCACACACACACACACAAAAAGAACAGGCUCUGGGGUUGGUCACUCUUGGAAUUUUCAUUCCUGUUCAAGCACUUACUAGCUUUGUGACUUUUGGGAAAUCAUUUCAUCUCUCUGAGCUUUAGUUGUCUUCAUCUUACAGUGGUACUAACAGUGAUGCAUUGGCAUCAAGGCUGUAAUACAGUGCUUUAAAAAAUGGAUGUAUUCAAACUGUAGCUCCUGCUAAGCUAACAAACUCAAGACUUAGCUCUAAUUCAUACACUGCAACAUCAGUAAUUGGAAAUCAUCUGACCUGCGCUUCUUUAUAAUUGAUCUGCUUCCUUUUUCCCUUAUCUGAUUCAUAAAUCACUUAAAUCUCCCUAUGCAUCUUAUGAUAUAUGUAAGCUAUGUGAAAUCGUCAGUCUGUAAGGCUGUAAGUAUGAAGUCUAUAAUUAUAUCCUGAUUAUAUUUUUCCUUUUGAUAUUCACAGAAUAACUCUGGCAUCUCUGGGCCAUCUGGGUGUUCUGAGGUAGCCAACUUAAGAAUAUACCUUUCCCAAUUUGCAUCUUCAUUAGCCCAGCACAUUGGUAUUGUUGAAGACAUGUGGAUCGAAUUUUCAAUUUACAUGGCCAUAUGCUACAAUCCCAUUUUUAAAUUCUAUUUGUGGAAUGAGGGUUUUUAUGGAAAACAUUUUGCUACAGAGUUGUGAAUGUGCUUGGGAGAUAUGUCGUGCACAUCAUGACAGCUCUUUNNNNNNNNNNNNNCCUCUCUUUGCCACAUGUACUUGCCUCCUUGUUUGAAGUGCAUUUGGCCAUAAACAUCCCUUUUUGGAUAUUACCACUUGUGAAAACAACUGCUGGCUUACCUAUAUCCAUUUGAGUGAUGGUACAUUUGAAUAAACAGACUUGCCCACUAGAAUAUCAUAUGCUCAAAUAAACCUACUAGUGGCCAUUUUAAUAUAAUACAAUAAAACUCGCUUUUCCAACAGACUCAGAAAUUUCAAGCCAAGCCCCAUGUGGACCCAAGAGUCUAUUCAUUCCACAUAUGGUCAAUUCCCUGAAGGGGGAUGUCUGAAUAUACUUUUUUUUUUAAGUGGGUUAGCUAGGAGAAAAUUUAAUUCAUAUGCUAAAGUGUGUCAGGCAGCUGAGCUCCAGCUAUCAGUUCAUCAUUAUCUUGAAUUGUAGGUUUAAUCAAGUUGUUUCAUUUAAUAUGAUUAUUUGUUUCAAAACCUAGUAUCCUGCUUUAAGGAAAAGCUUCACUUUUUAUUUCCUUUAGUUAGUCCCCAGGUUUGUGAAGUCUCAUGAAGACAGCCAGUGAAGUGAAUCUAAUUUGGGUGGUUGAAUACUAAGGAGGAAUCAGGAGACUACAUAGUGUUGCUUUCAUUAAAAUAGCUUUGUCCAAGAAGACAUUUUUCACCAUACUUUUGCAUCUGUUCUGGUGUUAUUUCCAUUUUGCUUUGCUUAAAUUAAAAAGGAAUGCUAUUGAAAUGAAAAGUUGGUUUUGGAAGUACUUGUGUGAGAGAUCAAGUCAAUGUGUUGAGCUAAAUGUUGUGUUGACAGAUUUUACAUGUUCACCCGGAGAAGAGCAGUUUAUUCUACCCUCUCUGAUACAAAGCCAGUUCAUAUAAUAGAGUUAGUUCAGAGGUGGGCAUCAGGUAUGAU